rnacentral:rRNA from 1 species
AUGAACUGGUUGCGAAACUAUUUCACACCCCUGACCCUUUUGUGUAGCGUCCGCCACGCCGGCGCCACAUCCUACGGUGCAGCGCCUAGCUCCGGGGCGUUGCACCACUGUCCACCGUGGCAGCCCACGGGCCCGCACCCAGCAGUGCAACGCCUCCGAGCUAGGCGCUGCACCUGUACAGUGCAGCGCCUGCGGGCUAGGCGUUGCACGUGUAAUGUGCAGCGCCUAGCGGCUAGGCGCUGCACUGUGACUUAUAUGCAAACGCGCCAGCCCUCUCCUCCCCCACCCUCCCCAUUGGCAGUUACAGAAAAAAGGGCGGCGGCCAUCUGCACUCCCCCUCUCAAUCCCCUCUCCCAAAUCUUUCCGAUCCGACGAUUUGGUCCGUGCAUUUGUUCACCAAUCCAUCGUGGAAGGAUGGUUUGGCUUCUCGAUGAUCACUGGGACCAUCAACACCGGCCGUACGCUAUGUCGGUGCAGCAGCGGGAGCUUGCACCUCUGAAGCUUCGGUCUCACGGGAUCAGCCUUGGAGGGAUGAGCUAUGAUGAGCGGUACACACCUUAUGUUAGGGAGGCAGGACUUCUCCCUUUCAUUGAGUUGGUCCGCCGGUCGACGCCACCCAACAAUGCUGCAGCACUCACCGCGCUUAUUGAUCAUUGGAGGCCGGAGACACACACUUUCCAUCUUAGGACCGGGGAGAUGACCGUGACGCUGCAGGAUAUCGCUAUGAUCACGGGUCUUCCUAUCGAUGGCAAUCCUUUAUGUAUGAACACCGAUUCUGAAGGGUGGCGCGCGCAGAUGCAAGCCCUUAUCGGUAUGGUUCCUCCGGAGCCUCGGGAGCCAGAAAGGGAAGAUAAGAAGAAGGAAAGACUCGCAGCGGGCACUACUUUCACGUGGAUAUCAUCGCACUUCGCUCAUUGCCCCGAUGAUGCUAAUGAGGACAUGGUGAAGACUUAUGCUCGUGUCUACAUGUGGUACGUGGUAUCGAGGACAAUGUUUGCUGAUGGCACAGGCAAGAAUGCUCCAUGGAUGUGGCUGAAGGCGUUGACCGUCUUCGAUAGCAAAUGGAGUUGGGGUUCGGCGACACUAGCUUACUUGUAUCGACAGUUGGACGAUGCCAGUUAUAGGCACACUGGAGGUAUUGGUGGUUGUCUGCUCGCACUUUCCAUAUGGAGCUGGGAGCGUCUGCCGGUUGGACAACCUAAGACCGUGAAGUACGAGGAUUGGGACGAUAAAGACGACCCACUACGGCUCCCCACUUGGGCUUACAAGUGGGAUGUGUUAAAUGAGACGACGGAUGAUCCCUCUGUAAUGUACAAGUUGUACAAGAGCGAGCUGGACGCGAUCACGCCUGAGCAGGUGAACCGACCUUGCAUAAGUGAUUAUCAUGCUUGUAUCUUCACUCGAUAUCAAUUUUGCAUUCAAUCCCAUUUUGCAGGUGGAAUGGGAGCCGUAUGGAAAAGGAGAGAGUUUUGGUAA